CAGGCAGGCUGCCCGGUCCCGCUGAGCCUCCAGCUAGCAUGGUGACAAUAAUAGGACCUGCUUCAAAGGGUUAUUGUGAGUUUUCAGUGAGAUAAAGCACGAAAAGGUCAGCACAGCCCCACAGCAUUAGUGCCCAUUCGUGGAGUUGCUGCUGCUGCUGCUGCUGCUGGCGUUCAUGCACCAUCCGGACCCGGUGCUACAGGAUGGAGAACCAGCAGUGACCCUACCGGCCCGGGGUGGCUGCAGAACAAAGAGGGCGACGAGAAAGGUGUCUGAGGAGCGAGGUUCUGGCGAAGCCCCGCGUCCUGCACCGCCAGGCCCGUUCCAGACUGCAAGAAAUGGCGGGUGUGCGCCCUCCGGGACCCGAAGACACGCGCUCACGCCCGCUUGCUAGGACUGUCCAGACCCAGGACACCCCACAGGCUGAAGAUCCCUGCCGCUAAGGGACGCCUGAUCGUGUGCACUUGACAGUUGCGAAGACAGUAGAUCUCAAAUGUUCUCACCCCCAAAAAGAAAUGACGUGGACGUGUGCGCCAGCGCUGUGGCAGCGGUCACUUUGCAGCAUGUGAGUUCCAGAGAGAUAAAUGCAUCCAUGUCGCCCCCACUGCCCUGUGCAUGCGUGCACACACACACACUCACACACACACACACUCACACACGCACCCCACCCCCACCCCCUCCCGGCCACUGAGCUACCUGCUCGAGCUGAGAACAUUUCAGAUGUGCUCUACUGGCAACAUGGCGGUCAUCAUUUUGCAAUAUUUAUACUUAUGUGUCAAAUCAGUCUCACUUACAUUUUCUCUGUUCUUCAGCAGUUAUCGCAAUAAAACUGGAAAAACAUUUUAGUACAAAA